UACGAAGGUCCCAAGCGGUGUUCGGAAUCACUGGGCGUAAAGGGUGCGUAGGCGGCGCGGUAAGUCAGAUGUGAAAGCCCGGGGCUCAACCCCGGAAUGGCAUCCGAUACUGCCGUGCUGGAGUAGUGGAGGGGGAUCUGGAAUUCACGGUGUAGCAGUGAAAUGCGUAGAUAUCGUGAGGAAGGCUCGUGGCGAAGGCGAGAUCCUGGACACUUACUGACGCUGAGGCACGAAGGCCAGGGGAGCAAAAGGG
rnacentral:rRNA from 1 species